UGAGCAACCUGCCCUUGACUCCGGAAUAACAGCUGGAAACAGCUGCUAAUACCGGAUAUGACCUCCGAUGGCAUCAUCUGGAGGUGGAAAGCUCCGGCGGUCAAGGAUGGGCUCGCGGCCUAUCAGCUUGUUGGUGAGGUAAUGGCUCACCAAGGCGACGACGGAUACGCCGGCCUGAGGAGGGUCGACCGGCCACACGUGGGACUGAGACACGGCCAGACUCCG
rnacentral:rRNA from 1 species